GAUUGAACGCUGGCGGCAUGCCUUACACAUGCAAGUCGAACGGCAGCACGGACUUCGGUCUGGUGGCGAGUGGCGAACGGGUGAGUAAUGCAUCGGAACGUACCCGGUAGUGGGGGAUAACUACCCGAAAGGGUGGCUAAUACCGCAUAUACUGUGCGCAGGAAAGCAGGGGACCUUCGGGCCUUGUGCUACCGGAGCGGCCGAUGUCAGAUUAGGUAGUUGGUGGGGUAACGGCCUACCAAGCCUGCGAUCUGUAGCGGGUCUGAGAGGAUGAUCCGCCACACUGGGACUGAGACGCGGCCCAGACUCCUACGGGAGGCAGCAGUGGGGAAUUUUGGACAAUGGGCGCAAGCCUGAUCCAGCCAUGCCGCGUGAGUGAAGAAGGCCUUCGGGUUGUAAAGCUCUUUCGGACGGAAAGAAAUCGUGCAGGCUAAUACCCUGCGCGGAUGACGGUACCGUCAUAAGAAGCACCGGCUAACUACGUGCCAGCAGCCGCGGUAAUACGUAGGGUGCGAGCGUUAAUCGGAAUUACUGGGCGUAAAGCGUGCGCAGGCGGUUGAUUAAGACAGGCGUGAAAUCCCCGGGCUUAACCUGGGAACUGCGCUUGUGACUGGUCAGCUAGAGUACGGCAGAGGGGGGUGGAAUUCCACGUGUAGCAGUGAAAUGCGUAGAGAUGUGGAGGAACACCGAUGGCGAAGGCAGCCCCCUGGGCCGAUACUGACGCUCAUGCACGAAAGCGUGGGUAGCAAACAGGAUUAGAUACCCUGGUAGUCCACGCCCUAAACGAUGUCAACUAGUUGUUGGGAGGGUAAAACCUUUUAGUAACGUAGCUAACGCGUGAAGUUGACCGCCUGGGGAGUACGGCCGCAAGGCUAAAACUCAAAGGAAUUGACGGGGACCCGCACAAGCGGUGGAUGAUGUGGAUUAAUUCGAUGCAACGCGAAAAACCUUACCUACCCUUGACAUGUCAGAAAUCCCUGAGAGAUUAGGGAGUGCCGCAAGGAAUCUGAACACAGGUGCUGCAUGGCUGUCGUCAGCUCGUGUCGUGAGAUGUUGGGUUAAGUCCCGCAACGAGCGCAACCCUUGUCGUUAAUUGCCAUCAUUAAGUUGGGCACUUUAACGAGACUGCCGGUGACAAACCGGAGGAAGGUGGGGAUGACGUCAAGUCCUCAUGGCCCUUAUGGGUAGGGCUUCACACGUCAUACAAUGGUCGGUACAGAGGGUUGCCAAGCCGCGAGGUGGAGCCAAUCCCAGAAAGCCGAUCGUAGUCCGGAUCGUAGGCUGCAACUCGCCUGCGUGAAGUCGGAAUCGCUAGUAAUCGCAGAUCAGCAUGCUGCGGUGAAUACGUUCCCGGGUCU
rnacentral:rRNA from 1 species